rnacentral:rRNA from 1 species
CGGGAGGCUGCACCAGUGGGGAAUAUUGCACAAUGGGCGCAAGCCUGAUGCAGCCAUGCCGCGUGUAUGAAGAAGGCCUUCGGGUUGUAAAGUACUUUCAGCGGGGAGGAAGGGAGUAAAGUUAAUACCUUUGCUCAUUGACGUUACCCGCAGAAGAAGCACCGGCUAACUCCGUGCCAGCAGCCGCGGUAAUACGGAGGGUGCAAGCGUUAAUCGGAAUUACUGGGCGUAAAGCGCACGCAGGCGGUUUGUUAAGUCAGAUGUGAAAUCCCCGGGCUCAACCUGGGAACUGCAUCUGAUACUGGCAAGCUUGAGUCUCGUAGAGGGGGGUAGAAUUCCAGGUGUAGCGGUGAAAUGCGUAGAGAUCUGGAGGAAUACCGGUGGCGAAGGCGGCCCCCUGGACGAAGACUGACGCUCAGGUGCGAAAGCGUGGGGAGCAAACAGGAUUAGAUACUCUUGUAGUC